ACCGUUCCCAAACCUCAUCAACUUCUCUUCAUCCGCAUCUCCCCUGUUUCGGAACAUGAGCAAUAUCCUCAGCCGUAAACACCAACCUCAUCAACUUUCUUCCUAGAUCUUGCUGCUCAUUCCAGUUGUGAUCCUUAUCCACGAACCCAGCGUCAUCAUCCUCUCUCACAUCCAUUUCCUCCCAAACAAUCUCCUUCUGGAUUUUCCCAACCGAGUUCAUCCUAUCUUACGGAUCAGCCAUUAGCCAUCAACCGUACGCGUCUUCCCCGCGUUCACUUCCCCUGCUUCAGCCACAAAGGAACAGAGAUCUACUCCCGGAUCCCAUGAACAAAAACCAAGCUAGCUCCAUCCUUUCGCGCGAUCAGAUCCCAGCGAAUCUUCUUCCCAACAUCCGGAUUAGAUGUAGCUCCCAUCAUCUGCGGAAGAGAUUAAGGUUUGCCUUAGUUGUGUUUUCGAAUUUUCUCACCAUCAAGCUUAGUUUUGAUUCUGCUUACUCAAGCAUAGGUAGCUCCUUGGCCUCUGUAAUAUUUAAGAUUGCAUUUUCUUUUUUCUUAAAAUCCUUGUCAUUCAGCUUAUUCCUCUUUAGUUACAACUCGGAAUAAGUUUUCAAUACUUAUCUUUCAUGUGUCCAUAGAGGUUACAAUGGUUGCAGUAAUUUUUUUAAGUCGUAUUGGCCUGCUUCUUGCUCUAUUCACUCUUCUGGCUUGAUUUUUUGUCAUUUUUCCAAAAUUUAUCAUCCUUCUUGCCUUUCUCUAGGCCGCUUCCUCUCCUUAAUCUUCAUGGCUUGCAUGUUGGCUUCAUUAAUAUCUUCAACUUUGAAGAGCUUCAGCUCUUUCGGACACUCUCAUGGAAACCUCUAAUAUACUUUAUGAAGAUUGCAUAAUCAUCAAUAGAGAUUUUAAAUGAGAUAGCUUGCUAGUAAAACUCAGUGAUAUAAGCCUAGACAGAAUGAUCAUAUUUCUACCAUAAGUACUACAAUUUGAUCCAUCAAUCCUCCUUAUGGUCAUUGGUUAGAACUGAUUCUUAAUCAGGCUUUUGAAUACGCUCUAUGUCAAAUUAGAAACAUCGUUUUUUCUCCUGUAUAAAUUCCACCAAGUAAGGGCAUGAUUGGAAAGCUUGAGGCAAGUAAAAGCGAUUUUUGGAUAUUGAAGUAUACAUAGAUAGUAAAUUAGGUCUAUAACUGAUCUAGCCAAUUAUCCAAUUUCUCUACAUUGAUAGCCCGAUUGUAUACAAGAAUUUUGAUUCGAGCAUCAACUUUAAGAGAUUGAAGAGAGGGAUUUCGAGUACCCAUAUGUUGCUCAUUAUCCUUAUUGCACUACCAGAAAACACGUGUAUAGUGACGGAAAACUAGUGACGACACGUUAUCAGUCACUAUUUGUGACGGAUUAAUGACAAACAGAAAUUUGGUCACCGUGGUGUGAACUUAGUGACAGAUUAGUGAUAGACCGGUUACAGAAUACGCGGGUAGAAUGGGUGCCAAAAUUUAGUGACCACCGUAGUGACGGGGUAUCUGUCACAAAACUGAUAACCAAAAUUGCAACCAAAUAGUGACAAAGUCAACCAUUAUAAAAAUCGUAACCCAAGUGUUUAUAAAUUUUUAAAAGAUUAUUUUUGGCAGUGAUAGAUGAUUUACAGAAAUUUCCGUCACCAAAUUUAAUUUUUAAUUCUAGAAAUAUUAAAAAUAUU
rnacentral:lncRNA from 1 species